rnacentral:lncRNA from 1 species
GAGGAGAUGGUUGAGAAGAUCCCGGCUCUGUUCCGAAGCAAUGGAAGACCGUGGACAUUGGGAGAAUCUCAUGCGAAUGGGCGGAUGUGGGAGGAUCUCAGAGGUUAAGUUGUCUGAUUCGAUUGGAAGAAAAUCGCAACGGGAUGAAGCUAAUCCGGAUGCUGAGUUUGAGCUUAUCCGGAUUCUGUUUCGAGAUGAUGGAGUUGGCUCAUGGAAAGAAGGAAAUGGCUGGGGGAUGAAGCUUGUGAUGGCUCUGUUCCGCUGAAACAGGGGAUACGUGGGUGGCUGAAGGUCAUCGCGAACGGGAGGAAGGGCUCACGGGAUAUUGAAAUCUGUUCGUGAAUGGAAUCCGGAGAAGGUUAGCUUGAUUCGGCUGG